AAAGAAACUAACCAGGAUUCCCUCAGUAGCGGCGAGCGAAGAGGGAAGAGCCCAGCGCCGAAUCCCCGCCCGCCCAGCCGGGCGCGGGAAAUGUGGCGUACGGAAGAUCGUUUUCCCGGUGUCGGCGUGGGGGCCUGAGUCCUUCUGAUCGAGGCUCACCCCGCGGACGGUGUGAGGCCGGUAACGGCCCUCGUCGCGCCGGGGCGCGGUCUUCCCGGAGUCGGGUUGCUUGGGAAUGCAGCCCAAAGCGGGUGGUAAACUCCAUCUAAGGCUAAAUACUGGCACGAGACCGAUAGUCGACAAGUACCG
rnacentral:rRNA from 1 species